UACGUAGGGGGCAAGCGUUGUCCGGAUUUAUUGGGCGUAAAGAGCGUGUAGGCGGCUUGGUAGGUCCGCUGUGAAAACUCGAGGCUCAACCUCGAGAUGUCGGCGGAAACCACUUGGCUAGAGUCCGGAAGAGGAGAGUGGAAUUCCCGGUGUAGCGGUGAAAUGCGCAGAUAUCAGGAAGAACACCUAUGGCGAAGGCAGCUCUCUGGGACGGUACUGACGCUGAGACGCGAAAGCGUGGGGAGCGAACAGG
rnacentral:rRNA from 1 species